GACGAACGCUGGCGGCGUGCCUAAUACAUGCAAGUAGAACGCUGAAGGAGGAGCUUGCUUCUCUGGAUGAGUUGCGAACGGGUGAGUAACGCGUAGGUAACCUGCCUGGUAGCGGGGGAUAACUAUUGGAAACGAUAGCUAAUACCGCAUAAGAGUAGAUGUCGCAUGACAUUUGCUUAAAAGGUGCAAUUGCAUCACUACCAGAUGGACCUGCGUUGUAUUAGCUAGUUGGUGAGGUAACGGCUCACCAAGGCAACGAUACAUAGCCGACCUGAGAGGGUGAUCGGCCACACUGGGACUGAGACACGGCCCAGACUCCUACGGGAGGCAGCAGUAGGGAAUCUUCGGCAAUGGACGGAAGUCUGACCGAGCAACGCCGCGUGAGUGAAGAAGGUUUUCGGAUCGGAAAGCUCUGUUGUAAGAGAAGAACGAGUGUGAGAGUGGAAAGUUCACACUGUGACGGUAUCUGACCAGAAAGGGACGGCUAACUACGUG
rnacentral:rRNA from 1 species